rnacentral:lncRNA from 1 species
CCAGGCUGCGGCCUAAGGUGUGCCUGGGAUUGUUGCAUUUUUUAGGGGGUUGGAGUGGGUAGGGGCCCUCUGCUGCCUCAUGACUGCAAGGCUGAGGUGAACCUCUGGCCUUCCAGUUGAGGUACAGGGGUCCUUUGCUGGCCCCAGAUGUGGACAGUAUCCUCUCGAAUGCCCACCACUGGGAACCCUUAAGUCCCUCAAGAUCUUUCCUCAGCCUCGGCC